rnacentral:tRNA from 1 species
CGGGCGUUAGCUUAUCGGUAGAGCGGCGGCGACAAUCAGGGAAGAGGCUUCUGCUGCUUCCUUGAUUAUUGCCGCAGAGUAGGGUUCGACUCCCUAACGUUCGU